CAAAGAUAAUGAACAUAUGGGUGGAGGGACAAAGACUUUGUGCUAAUUGUCAUGUUCUGAUG
rnacentral:snoRNA from 1 species